rnacentral:rRNA from 2 species
CGAGAGGACCGGAGUGGACGCAUCACUGGUGUUCGGGUUGUCAUGCCAAUGGCACUGCCCGGUAGCUAAAUGCGGAAGAGAUAAGUGCUGAAAGCAUCUAAGCACGAAACUUGCCCCGAGAUGAGUUCUCCCUGACCCUUUAAGGGUCCUGAAGGAACGUUGAAGACGACGACGUUGAUAGGCCGGGUGUGUAAGCGCAGCGAUGCGUUGAGCUAACCGGUACUAAUGAACCGUGAGGCUUAACCUUACAACGCCGAAG